GAAAAAAAUAUUGUGGUAAUCUUUUAAGUGCUUAUAGCUUUAAGUGCCAUUAAUGCUGUCAUAUUUUGUAACUUUUUAAAAAAUAUUUUAAAUUAUUUUGUUCAUUUCCUUUCAAGUACAAUCUUUGUUGGAAAUUUCCUGUCCCUUUUAUUGAUAAAAACUAAACAUGAGCUCUCUGCAUUUCUAGACUAAAGUGAAAUGUAACUAAACUGUGGGCAUUUUUAAAAAUCCUUUGUGCUGUCAGGGCAUAUGGAUAUGAAAAAUAGAAUUGUGUUUUCAAAGAAAAUGCUGCAAAAUAAUUAAUGGGAAUUGCAAAACAUACUAAAUUUUUUAUAGUGUUGACCUGUGGGCUACUGGGUGGGCCAUUGCAUAUAGAAGAUUUUGCAUGCUGGAAAUGAGAUACACAUGAUUGUACCAGCAAUGCUAAAUAUUAUUGCAACUCAAACUGUAGGCUUAUAGGCAAGAUAAGCAUGGAUAUUGAUUGCAGAGACUCUUGCAAGCUGGUCAAACAUGCAGACAUCCAAAGGUCAUGCAGACACAGACUUUUGGAAUUGCAUGCUGUUGUCUAUGUACACAAAAGUGCAUGUAUGUGAUACUUUCUGAGAAUUUAUGCACACUACGACAACUCAAAAUCAAACUGGCCACCAGAAUUCAAGAUUGCCAUGGCUAUGAAUGGAAGCAUGGCACUGUGUAUGCAAAUUUUCAGUAUGUAUAUUUGAGUAUACAUAUAUAUAUAUAUAUAUAUAUAUAAAAUUACUCUGCUGAAUUUGCGGGAGUGAACCAAAUUCCACUAGUGCAGAGGAAGAAAAAAGUUUUUAGCUUGAUCUGUCAGUCCACUUCUCUUGAAAUGUCCUAUCAUAUUUCUAAUUUCAUUAUCUGUCUGAAAAUCAAGGAAAAAAAGCAACAUUUGAAAAAUUUCAGGUAAUUUGGAAUUGCUCUAACUUAAUAAGAUCCAAGAGAAAAUGAAUUCUGCUUACUUCACCAGUGAAUCUUCUAAGGUGCAGGGCUGCACUCUGGCUUCACCUUACCAGAGACAGGGCAGUAAGCGCAGACCCUGGAGAAGGUUCCACUUAACUCAGGAGCUGCCGUGGCUUCUGGAAAGUUCUGUGCCAGACAGUCCUCUGCCUGGCUUCACAAGCACGCUUGUUUGUCACCAUCCUGGGAUCCCAGGCUCCUCAAGCCCCAGGCAAACACCAGCAAGGUGCAGAUCUCCUCAAGCUCUGGAGCUCUUUAGCCUACCUGUUACUGCUGGUUUUGGGCAGGCUUUGAAUUCCAGAUAUGAGCAAAUGUUCUGAAGUCUCAUGCAUGAGCAUCACUAAUUCUGUAGUGUCAGGAUGGAUGAAGCAUGUCUGGAUGUACUAAGGCUGUUCAAAUCUGGUGUUUUUUUGGUAGGAGGUUAGGAGUGAAAGCUACAGUUUAGAUUUGCGUUUGAAUUCCAGCAAAGGUUCAGAAGUGCUGAGAUGUACAAUUUGGGUCUGAGAAUUGCAGUAAUUCCUUGUUACAUCAUCCUGCGCUUUGCAUCUGUGAAGGAUCUGGCACCCAAAAUCAUCUCAUCUGACUCUGAAAGCAUGCAAUACAUUCACUUUUGCAAAUACUUCUCUUUGGUAACCAGAUGUCAAGAUCAACAUAAUGCAUACAGUGUUAUCUGUUCUUCAGAUGAGUUCUUCUCACAAGAAACGCUUGCCUGCAAUAAAAAGGUUCUGCAUAGUCACACAGACAUCUGCAAGGAUAUAGGAGAUGCAUUUUCUAUAUAUGAAAUAUAAACUUUAGCCAUUGCCAGGACAUUUCUUCUGAUUAGGGUCAGGGAAAGUAAUGUCUGUCUUGUAGGAAUUGUCUGUGUGAGCAGGAAGUUGGACAACAGGCAAAUCACAGAAAACAAGUCAACAUGGAAAAGUGAGGAGGCAAAAUUUGUUGGGCAAACUCAGAACUGUUUGAUCUGAUGCAACAGGACAAUGACAUCUUGGCAUACUUUUAAUUGUAACUUUCUGAGUUAUCAGUCUGUCCCCUGUCCAGAUUCUAGGUGAUGGCAUGUGUGUGUCAUUCUAGUUUCUGUUUGGCCAUGCCAUGCAGGAGCCCCUGGCUGUCAUUUUGUCAGCUGUUUCUUCAGCAUCCCGUGCUUUGGGAUAUAAUAGUUCAGGGACAAAAGAUGAUGCUCAAUAAACUCUCAGUGAGAUACUGAGCAGAGCAUUUGAUGACCUUUUAUAUGAAAGCAAAAUGCUCUCUUUCAUUCCUCUCCAUUUCUUGUGUCUGCAAAACUUGCUGAGAAAGUUGCCAGGCUAUGACAGGAGCAAAUAUUUUCUGCUAGAUGAUUGCCUAUUAAAUACCUCAAUAUACAUAAUUUUUAUUAUAGUAUGGGAAGUGCAAAUGGUGUAUUUCAUAGGGAGCCAGACAGAAACAUCUUGACACCUAAAUUGACAUUUUAAUGAGCUAAAUUGCUUUUCCCUUUUUAAAUGGCAUCCCUUGGUUUUAAUUGUCUGCAACAGCCUGAGAGAGAAUCUCAAUUCAAACAUCAAGUGUUUUUAUGGCUAAAAUUCUCAUCUUCUGGCAUUUAGAAACACCUAUAAAAAACUUGUCAAGUUAUUUCUAGUGAGGCUAUUUCAUUAUAGAAAGGUUUUAGCAAAAGUAGUCUAAACCAUAUCUAAAACGUCCUUCUCUACAUUAGGCCCUUUCCCAGCAGCCUGAAAAUAAGAAAUUGAACAAAUGGGUGGGUUAUGGACUUUAACUCUCUGAUCCUGCCCUGAGCAUAACAUGACUUGACAUGGGAAUUGGGCCCAGAAAAAAUAAAGAAAUAUGGAUUUUAUGUAGAUGCAGCCCUCUCACACAGAGGAUGACUCAGCUGCUGUAUCCCUACAGCUUUCAGCUCUGCAGUCCCACUUUCCAUUGUCUUGUGCAGGAGAAUUCUGCUAUGCCACUUUGGGGAUCCUUCUGAACCAUUAACCAUCAUAAGCAUCACUGAGCUUGUGCAUAUACUGGUUUUCAGAAGAUUUGUAAUUUUAUUACCACUUAAUAGGGAACAUUAUUUCUAAUAAAUCCUAAAAGUAAUAGUAAAUAAAAUACAAUAAUCCCUCUUCUCUCCCCCUGUGCUCUAUUUUCAUAGAACCUUAUUUGGAUUGUGGCCAUGAAAUUAUAAAUCACCUGAUCUUCUGCUGCCUGGCUUUAGGAUGUCACUAGCACCAGUCUGCUUCCUCCAAAGCCAUUAAAGGACUAUGCCAGAGAUGUUAUGCAAAAAUCUCUAACCCAUAAUAAAUGAAAUUAUGUCUGAGUUCAGGUUAUUAAAACCUUGUCCUUAAAAGCCCUUCAUUGAAGUAUUUGUAUUUAUGCUGUACAUGGGCUGUUUGUUUGCCAGCUUUGGUUUUCUCAGGGGUUUAUUUGUGUUGUCAAGGUUGCAUGAUGUCUGCUACUCUCACUUUUCCCAUCGUCCACUAGAAAUAAAUUACAGGUAAAGACCAAGCAUCAUGUUAUGUUGUGUACUAACCUAGAGCAGGAAGUCUCCUACUAAACAGAUAUGAAUUUGAAAGGUGACUGAGAACUUUUUCAGACCUCCCUGUACAUUUACUGGUUCUGAGCUACAUUUUGUCUAAUCUAGGCCAAAAUCUGCUCCUGCAAGUCUCUGCGGUGAAGUGAAGCUGCCUUGUUAUUUUUAAGAUUUUUAUGGCAAAUGCUUGCUGUUAUAACUCAUCUCUACAGUGCAAUUUAUACUUACGAGAAUGGCAUUGUAUCAAUACUUAACACAAAUAAGCUCAGCUUCAGAAACAGUUCCCUAGGCAUUUAAUUAUCAAUGAAACACCAGGCAAAUCAACAUAAAUCUGCAGAACUCAAAUAAAGGCUUGUAGAUUAAUGUAUGAAACUGGUUGGGUGAAAUGUAUCACCAAAAAAUGUACAUCUGAAAAUUCAUUUGGGUUGCUGAAAUUUUCCCAAGGUCCCCAUCUCCUUUACUAUCAGUAACAGUUACUCUUCUUAAUACCAUUGCUAAACUGGAUUGUAUUUUUAACUCCAUCCACUGCAACUGCAGUUCAUAACAUUGUUAGUCUCUGUUGACUUGUGCUGUUGAAAUCAUGGAGGAAGCUGUUGCAAAAGCUAAUUUGGAGCUGUCCUGAUGCAUAAUCUGUGAGCUAGAUCAUGCUGGGAUGGGAAGGUCACCCUAAAGGCAAGCCUUAUUAUCCACCACACUGGUGAGUUCUUAGGAACCAGAUGAAGAAUGGCCCCAUGCUAACACCCCUCAUGUGGCACACAUAACUAGCUCUUGUGCACAGAAUUUCUGGUGAUGUCUCCUUGCUCCAUGCAGGUAGAUGCAAACUUCUUUGUCCCUCCUCACUGGUUACAGGUCCUAUCUGAGCUAAGUCUUAUCACCAGGAAAUGACAGGGCUGGCUGCUGCUUUUGGGGGAAAGGGGACAUUUCUAUAGCAUUUAGCCUUUUGAGGCAAAGAGGAUCUGCUUUCCCUCGCUGAUCUUCACAGCAAAGCAAAGGCAGGUGAUACUUGACAUGUGAGGAUACUUUCAUCUCCCAAAUACAUUCUAUCCCCAAAUUCCUUUUUAUUGUGAGAGCUGGAUGCUCUCAAGAGGAAAGUUUAUAGUGCCUGUUGUGACAUGUAAGCUGAACAUACCAGCUUUCAGCCUAUCACUUAGCAGUUUCUCAGAUCCUGGAUUCAUAUAGUAGCUUUAAUUAGAAAAAAAAGCAGAGUUUGUGUCUAGAUCAUAUCUUCCCAACAAUUUAAAUUUAUUCAGAGCAGUGUAUCAAUGUAGUUUUAGAGUGAUUUUUUCCCAAGUUUUAAUAGAAUUUGAUCUAGAUCUUGGACAGUACUGAGGAACUACUAUUAGUCUUUUUCAGCUUUGUGUUUAAAAAAGAAGUUUCUUAAAACUUGGGGAAACAUUUUUUAAUGUUCUAAAAUUUUUUCCUGAUCAACCUCAAAUUAUACUAUAAACAAUCAGUAAAACCACUUGCAAGGGUAUUCUAUCUGCUUUCUUGUCUCUGUCCCUCUUUCACUCUUUCUGUAAGAUUCAAUGGUGCUUUAGAAAGGCAUUCUCAGAAAAAUGAAAAUUUCAGAAGUGUCAUUACCAGAGUUCAGAGCAGAAUGUGCUUGUACCAACUUGAUAAGUUUUGCUGCUAUUGUCUUUAUUUUAUGAUGUAAUGUUUUGAAAGAUUAAAAAAAUUGCAACAAAGACCAUCCAGAUGAAAACA